GUUGGGAAAACUGGACAGCUAGGUGAAAAAAAAGUGAAACUCGAGCACCAACUUACUCUAUACACAAAAAUAAAUUCAAGAUAGAUAAAAUACUCAAAUAUACACCAUGACACCA